UUAAAAUGGUUUGUUUCCUAGGGUUAUUUAUUUUAAAAAAUUGAAACUUUAAAAAGUUUAAAAAAUUAUAAAUUAAAUUUUACAAGAAAUUUAAACAAUAUAAAAGAUAUUAAUACGGGACGAUAUACUGCGAGAGAAAUCUUAGAUAUAACACUCAAAAUUCAAUGAUGAAGUUUGGGUCAAUAUUAAUCUUUUUUGAAGUUU
rnacentral:sRNA from 1 species